GACGAACGCUGGCGGCGUGCCUAAUACAUGCAAGUAGGACGCAGUUGCGAACGGGUGAGUAACGCCUGGGUAACUACCUAUUAGAGGAGGGUAACUAUUGGAAACGAUAGCUAAUACCGCAUACUAGUAGAUGGACCUGCGUUGUAUUAGCUAGUAGGUAGGGUAAUGGCCUACCUAGGCAACGAUACAUAGCCGAGUUGGGAGGGUGAGCGGCCCACACGGGACUGAGGACAGGGCCAAACCCCUACGGGAGGCCGCAGUAGGGAAUCUUUGGCAAUGGGGGGAAACCUGAACAAGCAACGGCGCGUGAGUGAAGAAGGGUUUCGGAUCGUAAAGCUACGUUGUUAAGGAAGCGGUACUUACACAGAAAGGAACGGCUAACUACGUGCCAGCCGCCGCGGUAAUAC
rnacentral:rRNA from 1 species